rfam:Talaromyces marneffei PM1 scf038, whole genome shotgun sequence.
AGCGACUCUACUUCAAAGAAUCACUUCAUUAGUAGACGUCCUCCGCUGUUUUUUCAAAAAUAGCCACAAAUCCCACCCUUGCUGAUGACCUCCAUGUCCUCGAUACCCUAAAGUGAAAUUUUGUGGCAUUCUUUCGUUUGGAAGUUUGUCCGUUUACUCCCGCCUCGAGAUCGUGUUGAACUCUUGUUGUCCUCUGGGAUAUACAGAACGAUAUUCUUUUCUCCAGGGAGUGGUGAUGAUCUUUACCUUGUUUUGGCGUCUUGACUUCGGUCGGCUGGACUUGGUGGGCGUCGAGGAGGUCUGAAAGGC